CACAUACGUUUUGUGUUUGGUGCUUCAGACUUCCUCCUGGCUGGAGGCAAGCAGAGGGAGCUCAGCUGUGCCCAAUUAUGGUCAGAGACACAUGGAGGGUAGAGCUUAAAAGCAGUGCAAGAGGUCAGAUGUUCACUGUGGCUUGGAGAUGGGUCUGUGUCUUUGUGCUUUGUUCUGAUUUAGUUUUGUUUUUUUUUUUUUAACCAUUCCUGAAGUUUUUGAGGCCGAUUCCAGCUUAUUCUGCAUUAGUUCUGUACUAAUGUUGUUCCACUGAAUCUUGAUUUUAUGAAGACUCUUCUCCAAAUGACCAAAUGCAAAACUUGACAUUGCCUUGUCCAAAUGUAUGAGACAGUCAGAAUGCAUAAGUGAUGGUAAUUACUCUGAAAUCAAUGACCCAAACUCUGACAAUUUGGACUGGCUGCAGGUCUGCCUGUACUGAUUUUUCAUAUGGUAGGUACAGAUUGGGCAAUAGCGAGACUGGCUUCCCAUGCAAGGCAAUUGCUUCUCCACCCUGAUCAAAAGGGAUUAUUCCCUGAUCAGAGUUGAAAGAGAUGAUUAAUCUCAUACAUUGUUCAGUCUCGGGUCCUUGUAUAGUGGUCAGCAGCUCAUGAAAAGCCUGAGAGGGGAGCACCACCACCUUUCCUCCCCUUGGCUGCCAGGCAACAACAACUUUGUCACUACUCACCUGGUCUAGGCUCGUGCCAUAGUCUGGAGGUAACGGAUACACAAGCACCAGUGAGUCUUUUGAAUUGCCUAGUUCCCACUUCUUCACCUAAGUUAUACUUUUUAAGGCUAUUUACCAAAAUUACACAAAGUAUUCUUUGAAGAAGAAAGUUUCUGCUUUUCAAGGGCAUCAUUCGUUAUGUCUUCUCUUUGAAAAUUGCAGGUGCAUUAUAUAACUGCUAUGGGUGUUAUUUAUUAUUAUCUCUACUGGGAAAUCAGUUGGUGCUGCAGAGGAUAACAACAAACUCUCAGAGCAAAGAGGAGAUGAUAUUCUCCUGUGGUGAUAGUGGUGACACUGAUAGAUGGUAAAUAGAUGGUCAGAGAAAACUUUACUAUUAGCUUAGCAGGAUUGACCUUAAACUACUAUGUAGGCUUAUAAAUAUUGUGAUUUCAGACUGACACCAAAGCAAAAGUAAUGGGUGCAGUACACAUGCAGGUUGCGUGCCAGCAUUAAAAUUGCAUUUGCAUCACUCUUGUUUGUUUUCAGAAAAAUACUCUUGGGUCUUCUUGCUUGAGUUGUGAAGCAGUAAUUUUGUUGUUUUAAUAUGAGCCUCUAAAGGCCUGAAGUGAAAUAGCAGCCACUAGUCCUUUACUGCUUUUGUAAACAAAAACCAAUAUGAUGAUAUACCAAAGUGUCUGGUCUCUGCAAACCUCAGCCACUGCAUCUACUGUGUAUCCCAUGAUCAAAAGCACAUGCCAAGGCUCCACUACAGACCUGGUCCCUGGUUUGUCCUUUAAGUUUGUCCUUUUUGUAGCUUUCAGCGCCGGUUGCAGUGAUCUCUCAAAGGAUUAUUUUCCUGUAAAGUCCUACAGAGGUCACAGUAACAUGACAGACUCUGCAAGGGACUGUAAAAACACACCAUGAGUAAUGGUACCUAAAUAGGAUGAGGUGCAAACCCUAUCUGUGGCAAGAAGGUAUCCCUUGGUAUUAUCUGUAACAAGGGUAUAAUGUCCUGAUUUAAUUCCAACUUGGGUAAUUACAUUGUCUAGUCGCAUUUGUUAGUGGUAUCACCAGGACAUAGUGUUCCUCAUUUACUGCUUUGGCUGUUGCUAACAAACUGUUCAGCUAUCACACUGUUAGCUAGUACUUAAACAUCAUCAUGGACAUUCUCAAAAUCUGUAAAAGAGGCAGAGCUGAUUGAGCAGGUCCACAUCACACUGCAGAAUUAGUUGUAUCUCAGAGAUAAAUGAGGUUUCUCCUUUAUUUAGCAUAGGCCUAAAUCUACUUCGUCUGAAUUUGGUAACAAACUGUGACUGAUUCCAGGAUAAACCUGGUUCCAGGGCUUCAUUGGAGGCGAACUUCGUACUUGCAGUGAGUAGUAAUUGCACUGUAUCUGUAAGAUAGUAAUGUUUUUCCAUGUGAUCUCACAAGUAACCUUCUCUGACUUCUUCAGGUCCUAGCCUUGCCAAUAAUAAAAACUUGUGUCAUUGUUUCCUGAAGGGCUGCAUUUGCAUUUUUGAGGAAACCUAGCAACACUCAUGAGGAAGAAAAACAAAAUGCAGCAGACUAUUAGAAACGCAAGACUGAAUUACGGUCUGCUGGGGAAAACUAAUCU